UAUGGACAAAAUGCAGGCUGGCAUUAUAGCAUCUUUGCUGAUUGAUGGUUCUUUUCCUCUUUGUGUGUGUGUGUGUGUGUGUGUGGUGAUGGACUCGUCCCCUCUGCCCAUGGGAAUUCUUUGAAUUGUUCUACAAAACUUUUGUGCACCCACCACGUCCCCAAGAUUUCAAAGUGAAUAUGGCAGAGUCUCUGCUACCCAGGAGGUCACCGGGUAGCAGGCGUGUAAAUAGACAAGGAUAAAAUGGCACAGCCCUCCAAGGAGAUUCCUGGAGCAUUUGGAAGCAAUGAGCAGGUGACCUUGGUGAAUCAUCCCUGGAGUCAGAGGGGUUGGAGGGUAACUCAUGAAAAAGCCUCUUAAGAAAGAGUCCAUCAGGGAAGAUGAACAUGAAGAUGAAGUCUAGGAAGAACAUGUAGAUGAAGUCUAGGAAGAGAAGCAUGGGUUUUUCUCCUUUAUUGUCUCUCCCUCCCUCCUUCUCUGUCCCUCUUCCUCCCCCUCCCCUCUCCUCCCCUCUGCUCCCAUCCUCUCCUCUCCUCCUUUUCCUUCUUUUCCCUCAUCCCCCCUUCUCUAAGACGCAGAGAAUAGAACACUCACAGCUCAAAAUCAGGUUUUCUUAAGCAGUGGUCUAAUUGGGCCCUAGGAGAUUGGUCAAAGGGUGUUUUGUUUUUCUGGUAGAUCCUCAUGAAUGGAAUUCUUCAAUAGGCUUCAAAUCUCCUUCAUUAACAUGCAUUUCCUCUCCCUCCCUGAAUACCUGCUCCCAACUCCAGGGCUGCCCGGCCCAGCAUUUGUCUCUGGAACUCAAGUGCCUACAGAUGUACAAUGAGAAACUUCAAGAGUGUGUGAAGUCAGGCCUGCGUGUCCUUCGAAGAAACUGUUCCCGGGAAGGCUGGUCCUCAGAAUGACGUCCGCUGUAUGGCCUCUCAGAGGGUGGAAGCAGCUUCCUCCAAGUUAGGUUCUGACUAAGCAAGGCCCAAUGAUGAAAGUUACUGCUUGUUACACACCAACUCUGCCCCAGACCCUGUGCUCUGUGCCUUAUCCAAAUUACCCCUGAAUCCUCACCGCAACAUGUGGGAGAAAGUGAGUAUCCUGGUCCCCACUGACACGUGAGAAGAGUGAGGCUGAACAAGGUCAAAGAAUGUGCCAAGGUCACAGGGCUGGCAAAUGGCAGAGCCUAGACUUGAAUAAGGGUCUAGAUGAUGCACUGCCUGUUACAGGUGCAGGUGAAGAGCAAGGACAGAGAGCAUCGGUUCGGCCCCCUCCCCUGCCCUGGUCCCUGAGCCAGGGCAGAGCAAGAGAGCCAUGACCUUAGACCUUCUCCUACCAAGGACUAUAGGUACUGCUCUCCCCCAGCCUCUGCAGAAGGUUCCUGGGGGUUCCAGGGAAAAACCAGAUCUGUGGCAAGGAAUAGUCAGGUGAAUAGAUGACUUUUGCCCACAGAGAUAGAAUUGUUCUCCUAGAGAACACCAGUCAUCCCAGGUGUUGUGGACUGAAUUCUUUCUUCCCAAAGUCCUGACCCCAGUAGCUAUGAAUGUGACUUUAUUCGGACAUAAGCUCUUUGCAGAUGAUCGGGUAAAGAUGAGGUCAUUAGGAGUUCCCAUCGUGGCUCAGCAGUAACGAACACGACUAGUAUCCAUGAGGAAGCAAGUUCAAUCCCUGACCUUGUUCAGUGUGUUGAGGAUCCAGUGUUGCUGUGAGCUGCUGUGUAGGUCACAGAUCUGGUGUUGCUGUGGCUGUGGUAUAGGCUGGCAGCUGUAGCUCCCUUUUGACCCCUAGCCUGUGAACUUCCAUAUGCCUCAGGUGUGGCCCUUAAAAAAACAAAGGUGACGUCAUCGGGGUGAACCCCAAUCCACUAUGACUUGUGUUCUUAUGAAGAGAAGAAAUUUGCACACAGAGACAAAGACACACAGGGAGAUCACUGUGUGAACAUGAAGACUGAGAUGGGCUGAUGUGCCCCAAUAACUAUCAACAAACUAGCAGAAGCUGAAAGAUAGAACCAACCCUACCAAGACCCUCAUUUUGGACUUUCAGCCUCCAGAGCUGUGACACAAUACAUUUCUGUUGUUUAAGCCACCCAGCUUGUGGUACUUUGUCAUGACAGCCCUAGGAAACAGAUACACCAGAGCUCCUGGCAUGUGUGUCCUGACCAAAGGCCUGGACUGAGAAACUCCGGGCAGCCCUGGUGCCAUCGCCUGACUUGAAGGGGCCCAACACUGCUGUCUGGGCCAUGAGAGGCCAGUAAGUGCAUGGCCGUGAUCCAGGACUGGAUCCCCGCUGUGUUAAGUAAGCACUACAGCUCCUCUUCCAAGUGGUGGGGUCCCUGGUUACAAAGAGCCAGAUGGAAAUCCAAUUGCACUCUCAAGGCUGCUGCAGGGGAGGGUGGUGUUUUUGUCCUAUGCUGUUCCAGGGACAAUUAGCGUCUGAAGAUUAGAUUCAUAAUGGCCCAUUCAUUUUCUCUGCUCGUCACUGGUGUCUGGCAGAGAAUUGGAAUUCUUAAUCCCUCUCGCUCUAAGUGAAUGCAUAUUGAACUGUUUUGACAGCUUCGAAAUUUCAUUGCAGAUUCUUGAUGACUUCCCAUGUCAGGAUCAAUUUGCAGCCUUGUUUUCUCAGCUGAUUAGGUCCCAUCCAAUUUUCUUGAGCCAGGCUUUCAGAGGAUCUGGCUUCUUCCAUCUCUACCACAAAGGGGUGCUGGGUAGGGAUGGUCUGGGGGAGGCUGGGUUUAAGAUCUGAUAUCUGGAACCCCUGAACCCACCAGGACUCCUGUUUGUUCAAGAAACAGUGAGCUUGCUAUUAAAAAAAAAAAAAUUACAUAAUGCAGCUUUGGCAGGGAUUCCGUGAGAAGUUAGCGAGGAUGUACACAGAGCUUCUAGCUCAGGCUGGAUAGAAGAUGAAGAAUGAAGGAUGAGCACGUGCAUGGGAUGGUCAUGUUGCUUCUGUGCACACCGCAGCUUGACCAUUUAACUCUCAAUAGGACUUUGGGCCAGUAAUUCACACUUUCCUAGGUUUCGUCUUCACUAACACGGGGAUCAUGGUGAUAGAAACCUCACAGGAUUGAGGUGAAGAUUAAAUGAAACAGUACACAUAAAAUGUCUUUGCUCGGUGCCUGCAGCAUACUAAGUGGUCAACAAAUAUUAGCUUUGCAGCAAAGUUCCUCAUGGAAAAAAGAUAAUUUCUCUUCCUUCCCCUUCUCCUCCCUCUCCUCCUUCUCCCGUUUUCUGUCUUUGUCUGAGAAAGGCUACAGCACUAUCCAACAGAAAUAUGGGGAGAGCCACACGUGUCAUUUUAAGUUUUCCAAUAGCUAUGUUUAAAAAGUACGAAGGAACAGGUGAAAUGAAUUUUGAUAACAUUUUAUAUAAAACAAUAACUAGAAUAUAUGAUCAUGUCAACAUGCAAUCCUUGUAAACACUAUUAAUGAACUACUUUACGUUGUCUUUCUCUGAGUGACUUCACAAGCCAGUGUGGAUGUCAUGCUAACACUGCCUCUCACUCCAGAAUGGCCACAUUUCAAGUGUUUGAUUAGCCACGUGGGGCUGUUGGCUAGGAUACUGGACAGCACAUCUCUAGAUGUGCUGGAGCUUGCAAUUCCCCUAGAACUUUCCCACUUGUCCCAUCUUGUUCUCCAGUCCCUCCCAUCUGUAGCCCAGGAGGGCCCACCUGAAGGUUCUGUAGCAUCAGUUCCAGCCUGAGGUCAGAAGGACAGGAGCAGUCCCACUGUGGGGGUGGGGCACUUGGAAUCAAGCCACUGUCUACAGAUCCCGGAUCAAGUGACCAGGCGUUGGCCACCAGGCUCUGUAGGUGCCCAUCCCCUUCCCCAUCACAUGGCCUUCUGAGCUUCCCAUGUGGCUGGCCAGUCCCAGGACCUGGUGGCCUUGCCAUGAGUCUAGCUCUCCGAUGGCCCCCCAGCUGAUGCAGCACUUGCACCCCGCAGACAGGCUCAGUCACUCCCGAGUCUCCCUCAGAGCCCCCUCUUCCCACUAGGGGAGAGUGUAGCGUUGACUGCCUGAUACGGACAAAUUGUGUACCCUUGAAAUUCCAGUACCUGAGAAUGCAGCUGUACUUGGAAACAGAGCCUUUGAAGGGGUGAUUAAGGUGAAAUGAGGCCGUUAGAGUGGGCCUUGAUCCAAACCGAUGGGUGUCCUAAUACAGAAAAGGAGAUUGGGGAGUUCCCGUUGUGGCGCAGUGGUUAACGAAUCCGACUAGGAACCAUGAGGUUGCGGGUUCGGUCCAUGCCCUUACUCAGUGGGUUAACGAUCCGGCGUUGCUGUGGGCUGUGGUGUAGGUUGCAGAUGCGGCUCGGAUCCUGCGUUGCUGUGGCUCUGGCGUAGGCCAGCGGCUACAGCUCCGAUUAGACCCGUAGCCUGGGAACCUCCAUAUGCCGCGGAAGCGGCCCAAAGAAAUAGCAAAAAGACCAAAAAAAAAAAAAAAAAAAAAAAGAAAAGGAGAUUGGGGCAUACAGGGAGAGAGCCCAGAGAUGCACACACACAGAGAAGGCCAUAUGAGGGCACAGCCAACAUGUGGCCACAGAGGCCUCAGGGGGAACCAAACAUAUUGACACCUUGCUGGUGGAUUUAUGGCCACCAAGCCUGUGAGAAAGGAAGCUCCCAUUGCUGCAGCCACGCAGCCUGUGGUCUUUAGUGAUGGCAACCUGAGCUGGCCCACACGCUGGCCACCGAUUUGGAAGCAGACCCUUGCUCUGUGCUCUGCUGCGGUGCCUGGCCACCUGCCCCACAGGGGAACCAUUUCCGGGGACAGCCCUGUGCCUCCCUGAUCAGAACUACCAUCAGAUCCAAGGGAGAGGGCCUGCUGGCCUGGCUUCCAUAGCCAACAUUGCCUGUCUGGCCCUGUCUGGCCCUGCCGGGCUGCACCCUUCCCAGAGCAGGAACCCACUGGACCGAAGGACUGUGUCUCCCGGAGCUUAUGUUCUCUGUUCUGUCAAUCCGAAAAAUGUCUGAGACCCAGAAUCCUGGCACUCCCUGCCCAGAGCUUGGGUUGCUCUCCCAGGCCUGUUCUCUGAAGGUAUCUGUCACUCAUGCGCUCAGAUGGUAGCCUAGAGUUGGCUGCUAAUGUAGGGUGUGGAUGAAGCCUGGACAGGUGGGCUGGGUAUCCACAGAGGGCACCCAAGGCCCCUGACUUUGAAGUGCCCAGCAGGGAUGGGGGCGGGAAGGGAGGGGUGGGGGCAGGGCGGCUCUCCCUGUGAUGUCCACGUGUCAGUGCAGAACUCCAAGAAGUCCAAGAAUUCUGCCUCUGAAACUGGCCCUCCAGUGACACUGCCAUCUCUUUGUCUAGGAGGAGGGGUACAACAUGUUUUGUUUAGCACUUUGUAAGCUGCCUUUCAAAUGUCUGAAUAUGAGAGUUCCUGUUGUGGUUCAGCAGGUUAACAACCGGACAUAGUGUCCCUGAGGACAGAGGUUCGACCCCUGGCCUCGCUCAGUGGGUUAAGGAUCCGGUGUUGCCACAAGCUGUGGCGCAGGUAGAGAUGCGGCUUGGAUCUGGUGUUGCUGUGGCUGUGGCUGUGGCCUCAGCUGCAGCUAUGAUUUGACUCCUACUCCAGGAACUUCCAUAUGCUGCAGAUGCAGUGGCACAAAGGAAAAAAAUGAAAUAAAAUAAAAUAAAAGUAUCUGGAUAUGCAGACACAGAGACCUCCAUUCGUGCUCUUGCUCUUGGAUUCUCCCACGUGAAGGAUGGGCUGCUCCUGCAACCUGAGGACAAACUUCCUCCCAUCAUGGGCUCUCCCCACCACCGCACACUACUAUGGUCUAAACAUGUGCCCUGAAAAUUCACGUGUUGAAGACCUAAUGCCCAGGGUGAUGGUGUUGGGAGGUGGGGCCUUUUAGGAGGUGAUGAGGUCCUGAGAGUGGAGCCCUCAUGAGUGGGGAUUCAUUCUUUUAUAAAAGAGGCCCCGGCCUAGCCCCUCCUACCAAGUGUGAACACAAUGAGAAGUCUGCGACCUGAAAAUCACCUGACCAUGCUGGUACCCUGAUCGCAGACUUCCAGCCUCCAAAUCUGUAGCAAUAUAUUUCUGUUUUUUCAUCAGCCAUCCAGUCCCUGGUUUGGUUUUACCAGCCUGAAUGGACCAAGACACACAUCUCCAUCUGAUGGAAAUCUUAUGUCAUCCAUGCGGUCAUUGGCCUGGGCUGCUCUGUCCCAUGACUGUGCUUGGCUUUCCCAGCUGGAUGUUCGAGACUGUGCUAACCUGUCCCCCUGCCACUUGUCUUCUGCUCAGGUUCCAGAAGUUUGGAGAAGAGAGGCCACAUGUAUGCCCCUGCUGGAGAUGACUAGGUGCUUUGGAGGAAUGAAGGGGGCAGAAGGAAAUCCCAGGAUCCCCAGCCUCCUCUGGCUUCUCCCAGACUUGACUUCUUCUAAGUGCCAAAACCCUCCCAUUCUGAUCAGGACACUGACUUCAGCUUCAUAAAGAAGACACAGCGGUGAAGUUAACUGCUGCAGGUUGGCAAAUUAUAUGGUUAUUUGGCCCUCAGAUUUCUGGUGAUUCCCAUGAAAGACCUUGUAUAAUAGUCAUAUACUUUCUCCUCUAUUGUCUAUUAAUUUUUAGAAUGGCUAUCUUGGACUGGAGCUUGUCGCUCUCAUCUUGUACCAUAAAGGCUGCAAAAGUAACUCAAAUUUGCUAAAAAUCCUAGAUAUUACUCUUGAGUCAAGUCCCAAGAGAAGAUGGUCAACAGUUCCACUAAUAAUGCCACCGUUGCAUGGGAAGGGUUGCCAUCUUCCCAGACAAGGAGAGGAAGGUGAGCCCACCCUCACUUCUCUCCUCUCCUCACCACACCCCUUUUCUCUGACAUCCUGGUAACUGAAAAACUCCAGGCUGCCAGCAACUUCUGCAUUAGUGAAGUUUCGUUUGGUCGACAAUAGCAGAGAUGGACCACAGCUAGCUUAACGUAGAGAGGACAUUUAUUGAUGGGCAACUAGGUAAUGAUGUGGAGACCAAGGAAGAACUGAACGGCCAUGCCUUGAGAUGGACAGGGACCCGGGCAGACCCAGGGGUCCUGGUUGGAGGGAUCCAUGAGAUUUCACUCUGGAGGACUCUUAACAUAGCUCAGGUUAAAAGUGCUCAGGUGCUGUCUCUCAGUACAAGAUUGAGACUCUUGGUUCGGAUGAUCUAAUGGCUUAGCUUGAGUCAGAUGCCUACCUGCAGCCCAUGAAGCAGAAUUACCUGGUACAGACAGAGCUGAGGGGUCUUCUCACGUCUAGCGGGUCCAGCUCCUGGAGAAUGGGCGAUUGUGGUGAGCCAGGCAGUCACCCGAAGAGGUCUACACACACUUAGAGUUAGAUGGGCUUCGUGUGGUUGUUGUUAUCUCUCUUCUAAAUCUUUACAAGAAACUCUUUUGGCUUUUUCCUUCAAUUUUCGAACUAUAAUGUAACUGUAAACACCAUAGAUACAAUUCACUCUCUCAUUAAGUGGAAUUCCAGGCUUACUUCCUGUUUCCUUUAAAUUUCAACUUCUCCAUGUGUUUAAUUUAUCUGUCUGUCUACAGGAAAGUUUUGAGUAAUUUUUGCAAAAGAAGGUAUCUGAUGUAGGGUUUGUAGUCAUGUGUUUAUCUAUGAUGCCAUUCUUUGCUUUCUCAUAUUAAAAAAAUUAUUUUAUUUAGAAUUCUUUCCCCCCAAAAAAAUUCUGCAAAAACUUUUAUUAUCUUCUGGGAUUUAAUGUUGUGAAGGGUAAGUCUGAACCAGCUGAUUUCCCUUCUUGUUGGAAACCUAAUUUUUCUGCCUGGGUAUGACUCUGACUUUUUUCAUUAUCUUUGAAGGGUUUUUUUGUGUUGGUGGUAGCACCGGUGUUUGGUUGGUUGGUUGGUUGCUUGGUUCAAGGAGAACUAGGAAAGGUGGAAUGAUGGCUUUGAAAUGUUCUCCUGAGCUAGAAUACUCUCCCAGAUGAGAGCAACAGGGAGGGAAGGUAAUUAAGGACAGUAUUUACUUAUCUACACAGACAUUUAAGAAUUUGAGGGUGUUCCCAUUGUGGCGCAGCAGAAACGCAUCUGACUAGGAACCAUGAGGUUUGAUCCCUGGCCUCGCUCAGUGGGUUAAGGAUCUGGCGUUGCCGUGAGCUAUGGUGUAGUCACAGAACACAGCUCGGAUCCUGCAUUUCUGUGGCUGUGGCUGUGGUGUAGGCCAGCAGCUGUAGCUUCAAUUUGACCCCUAGUCUGGGAACCUCCAUAUGCCACAAGUAAGGCCCUAAAAAGAAAAAAAAAAAAAAAA
rnacentral:lncRNA from 1 species